UCUCUCUCUUUCUGGAACAUUCCAUUGAUGACCAAAAUUCCUUCGUAGGGAAAAAUGGAAAGCGAAAGAGUGAAGAACUGAUCUCGACUCUACUCUAGAAGAUUUCUCCGGUGCUAAUAAAGCUUCUCAGGUAAGAAAAUCAUGGAUCCCAAUAAUCGUCAGAUCAUCCUCACUAGCAGACACAAAGAUCAAUGUGUGAGAUGGGACUGUAGACGUCUCCCUCUACGACCUUUAGAGUAUUGCCAUGUGAGCUGCGAACAGAUGGCCACUUCCGAUGCACAAUCCACAGACCCGUUUUUGCUGUCGACCGUGUAUACUUCAACCAGUGAAUUCGCCCUCAUUGCUAACAAGAUUUUCAA